UGCUGUGGAGAUGAAGUGAGACCAUGCUUAGGAAGGGGUUAGCCUGGGGUCUGCUUCAGAGUAGUAAGUGCUCCGUGAGCACGAGCUACUAUUGUGUCCUGACGCUGGAGCUGACACACGACAGACUGGCCAUUCAUGUCAUCCCCUUCGUUCCUGAACAGAGAAGACGAAUUCCAUUCAUAACGCCACCUGGGUUAUGACGAUGGGCGGGAAAGGCCUGUGAACCCGACUCCCCGCCCACACUCGGAGGUCCAGCUGAAGACUCCCAGCAUCGCCAUGAGGUCCCAGGGCAAAGAGGAAGCCAGCCCUGUGGAAUCAUCAACAUUACGGAAGAGCACUCUGGAGACUGUGAAACUCAAUUUAUGCUUCUGGUUGCUCUGCUACUGUAGGAUCUGCGACUUCGGGUGUCCAAGAAGCCUUAAUAAGCCACAGCUUUAAAACAUGGAAUGUGCGUCCUCAGAGAGAAAUGGCCUGCCGAGGCUGGAGGCGCCCAGCAGAGGCACUUUGGAAGCGGUCCCUACUCCUCCUACAGUGCAGCUCGCGGGCUGGCUACGUCAGAACUCCGGGCCAAGGACUGCGGCAUCUGCAUCCACAUGCACCAGGCUGGAAGCUGAGGACGCUGAUCAUCACUCCUGCCUGGGAGAUGGAAAUGACGAGGACAGUGUGGUGGCUUCGGGGUCCUGAGAAGCAGAGGCACCCCCUGCACCCAGUCUCCUUCUUGAUUUUUCCCGCCUUUCUGCGGAGGUUGGGAGGGGUCGCCCAGCUGCUGGCCUCAGACCCCACCGCCCUCGGCAGAAGAGGGGAUGCGCAAGACACAGCCAGGCAGUCUCCAUCCUCUGCCCAGUCUCUCUGGCUGUUGCACUGGUUCAAAGGACAGUGGUGGUGGGGCUGGGCCAGCCGGGGGUGGGAGUGGGGGCCCUUGCUGCCUGAGGAGGUAUUUUCAGACUCCCCCUCCCUCUGGAGUUUCCAGCGAUAGAAUGGAGCCCUGUCUAGUAUUUGACCAAAUAUGGUGGUAUCUCUCGAUGAGCUCAAGCCCCAGCCAGCUUCUCGGCUGUGCUGUGGAAACCUGCCCUGGACAGAUUAAUCUUGUGACACUCAGGAGGGCCUCGCACCCCGCGUUCUUCCCUCAGGCUGAUUCCUGUAAAUGGCUAAGAGUGGCCCCUCAACAAGACGCUGCAGUCCUGGACGCCUGCUCACGGUGUCCCUCCCUUCCAUCCCCUCCUCUGCCUCCCUGGGUGGACUUGCUUGCUCACCAUUGGUUGCGCCGUUCACUUGAGUGAGAGACCUCGACCAGUGUCCUGCCGGGCUGGUCAGUUCAGCAUGUGAUUCCAGGACACAUAGACCCUGGGGUCACCUGAGCUCAUGAAACUGUCCCCAGAGCCUGUGAAACCCAGAGCUCUCUCAGCCAGGAGGGUGGGCCCGAUGGGGUAGAAGUUCCCUUGGCAGAGCGGUGGGAACUGUGCUAGUGCUAAGGCUAAUCAGAACCGCUGA